GUAAUACUCCCUCCGUUUCAUAAUUUUUGUCUCAAAUUUGUUCAAAUAUGGAUGUAUUUAUUCUUAAAAGGCGUCUAGAUACAUGUAAUAUUUCGACAAGAAUUAUGAAACGGGGAGAGUAUAUU
rnacentral:pre_miRNA from 1 species